rnacentral:rRNA from 1 species
AGAGUUUGAUCCUGGCUCAGGACGAACGCUGGCGGCGUGCUUAACACAUGCAAGUCGAACGAUGAACCGCUUUCGGGCGGGGAUUAGUGGCGAACGGGUGAGUAACACGUGGGCAAUCUGCCCUGCACUCUGGGACAAGCCCUGGAAACGGGGUCUAAUACCGGAUAUGACCGUCUUCCGCAUGGUGGAUGGUGUAAAGCUCCGGCGGUGCAGGAUGAGCCCGCGGCCUAUCAGCUUGUUGGUGAGGUAGUGGCUCACCAAGGCGACGACGGGUAGCCGGCCUGAGAGGGCGACCGGCCACACUGGGACUGAGACACGGCCCAGACUCCUACGGGAGGCAGCAGUGGGGAAUAUUGCACAAUGGGCGAAAGCCUGAUGCAGCGACGCCGCGUGAGGGAUGACGGCCUUCGGGUUGUAAACCUCUUUCAGCAGGGAAGAAGCGAAAGUGAC